rnacentral:rRNA from 1 species
GACGAACGCUGGCGGCGUGCUUAACACAUGCGAGUCGAACGGAAAGGCCCUGCUUUUGUGGGGUGCUCGAGUGGCGAACGGGUGAGUAACACGUGAGUAACCUGCCCUUGACUUUGGGAUAACUUCAGGAAACUGGGGCUAAUACCGGAUAGGAGCUCCUGCUGCAUGGUGGGGGUUGGAAAGUUUCGGCGGUUGGGGAUGGACUCGCGGCUUAUCAGCUUGUUGGUGGGGUAGUGGCUUACCAAGGCUUUGACGGGUAGCCGGCCUGAGAGGGUGACCGGCCACAUUGGGACUGAGAUACGGCCCAGACUCCUACGGGAGGCAGCAGUGGGGAAUAUUGCACAAUGGACGGAAGCCUGAUGCAGCAACGCCGCGUGCGGGAUGACGGCCUUCGGGUUGUAAACCGCUUUCGCCUGUGACGAAGCGUGAGUGACGGUAAUGGGUAAAGAAGCACCGGCUAACUACGUG